rnacentral:misc_RNA from 1 species
UCCGGUUUAUCACCAGCAGUCUCCUUAGAGUGCUCACCAUGACGUGGAGCAACUAAGGACAGGGGUUGCGCUCGUUACGGGACUUAACCCAACAUCUCACGACACGAGCUGACGACAGCCAUGCAGCACCUGUGUUCAGGUUCCCGAAGGCACUCCGCCAUCUCUGGCAGAUUCCUGACAUGUCAAGGGUAGGUAAGGUUCUUCGCGUUGCAUCGAAUUAAACCACAUGCUCCACCGCUUGUGCGGGCCCCCGUCAAUUUCUUUGAGUUUUAACCUUGCGGCCGUACUCCCCAGGCGGAGAACUUAGCGCGUUAGCUACGCUACCGACAGACCGAAGUCUACCAACAGCUAGUUCUCAUCGUUUACAGCGUGGACUAC